rnacentral:rRNA from 1 species
UACAGAGGUCUCAAGCGUUGUUCGGAUUCAUUGGGCGUAAAGGGUGCGUAGGCGGCGCGGUAAGUCGGGUGUGAAAUCUCGGAGCUUAACUCCGAAACUGCAUUCGAUACUGCCGUGCUUGAGGACUGGAGAGGAGACUGGAAUUUACGGUGUAGCGGUGAAAUGCGUAGAGAUCAGGGGGAACACCCGGUGGCGAAGGCGGCCGGCUGGGGCCCGACCCUGACGCUGAGGCGCGAAGGCGUGGGGAGCGAACGGG